AUUUGUUAAGUGCUUACUAUGUGCAGAGCACUGUUCUAAGCAAUGGGGGAGAUACAGGGCGAUCAGGUUGUCCCACGUGGGGCUCACAGUUUUAAUCCCCAUUUUACAGAUGAGGUAACUGAGGCCCAGAGAAGUUAAGUGACUUGCCCACAGUCACAGAGCUGACAAGUGGCAGAUCUGGGAUUCGAACCCAUGACCUCUAACUCCCAAGCCCAGGUUCUUUCCACUGAGCCAUGCUGCUUCUCUACUACAAAAAGAACCCUUUGGCCUCAGUCACCAGGCUAUAUCAGAUGAAAGUGUAUUUCAGUGGCCUGAAUUACCCAGAUAGUUUGCGUGUAUAAAUCCAACGAUGAUCUCAGAGAAAUCAAAGGAGGUUAACACUGCCCCAAGCGAGUCAGAAUGGCCUAAAUGACUGCAUAAUUGAAAAACGGCUUUUUUCCCUUUUAGAAUCUUUGACCCCUGAGACUCAUUCCUAACCACCAAGUUCCUCUUCAAUGUCUCUCCCUUCUUCUUGCCAGACUCCCAGAUGAAUUCCGUGUCCCUCGUCCAGCAGACUUACCCUUCUCUCUUCCUCUGGCAGGUGGCAGAGAGUUCCUGGAAAUGAAAUCUUCUGGAGAGAAGCAGAUACCCACAAAAUGAAGCUCCUUCUUUGGGCCUGCCUCAUGUGCAUUGUUUUGGCCAAGAAGAGGCAACAUUCUUCCUCCAGUGAAGAGAUAAAGCUGGAAAACCUGAUUUUUCAUUCAGAUUUUACACUUUGGUGGCUUUUGAGUAAAUCCCCUCUGCGUAUGCACUCUGGCUUUGGGUGUCUGUUUUCCCACACAGGGAUCCCUGGUUGGAGAGAAGAUUUGAAUUUCACAAGCCCAGAGAAGAAAAAAUAUAUAUAA
rnacentral:lncRNA from 1 species